GACGAACGCUGGCGGCGUGCUUAACACAUGCAAGUCGAGCGGUAAGGCCCUUUCGGGGGUACACGAGCGGCGAACGGGUGAGUAACACGUGGGUGACCUGCCCUCAGCUCUGGGAUAAGCCUGGGAAACUGGGUCUAAUACUGGAUAUGACUCCACGGUGCAUGUCGUGGGGUGGAAAGCCUUGUGCGGCUGAGGAUGGGCCCGCGGCCUAUCAGCUUGUUGGGGGGUGAUGGCCUACCAAGGCGACGACGGGUAGCCGGCCUGAGAGGGCGACCGGCCACACUGGGACUGAGACACGGCCCAGACUCCUACGGGAGGCAGCAGUGGGGAAUCUUGCGCAAUGGGCGAAAGCCUGACGCAGCGACGCCGCGUGAGGGAUGACGGCU
rnacentral:rRNA from 1 species